GGCUUAAGCGCGUAAAAGGAAGCGAUUGUGUUAUUUUAAUCGCAAAGAGCAAAGGCGAAACUACAGAUUGUGUUAUUUUAAUCGCAAAGAGCAAAGGCGAAAGUACAGAGCAAGUCAAUUGAUUAAUUAAAGAACAGUAAUUAAUACUAAGUAAGAGAGUAGAGUGCUAAGAGGUGAGGCUGCUUCCAUUUUUGUAUACAUUUUUCUCAAUAGAAGAGAGCAUGAGAUCCUAGAAUUCUAGAAGGAAGAACCCUCUCCUCCUGCCUCUGCUUCAAGGAGGACAAGAACAACCAAGAAAGGUGCCACUUUUGAGAUGAGAUAAUCUAAUUAAUCCCUAAUUGUCCAUCAUUAUCGGAUCCCAAGAACAUACAGGAAGGAAGGAUUGGAUUUUGUUGUUGUUGUUGUUGUUGUUGUUGUAACUACCAUCAAGAACUGAUCUGCAGCGGCGGCAUGCUUUCUUGGGGUUAAUUUCUUGGAUGAGCGAUCUAAGGGGAAAAAAGAAGAAGAAAAAAAAGGAAUGAUCACUGAAGGCUACUUGUCUCUUUCUCUCUAGCUUUAUGCGGAUUGCGGCGACGAAGCUCCGUUCUCUGGGUGGCCGGUGGCGGCAGGGGGAGCGGCGGCGGCGGAGGAGGAUGUUCCGUUGAUGUUGAAGUCGGUGGUGUGGGAAGGGGGUGAGGUGUGGUUGGUGGUGGGAGGGGGAGGAGUGGUGGAGGGGUUGAAUGGUGGGGCGGCGGUG
rnacentral:lncRNA from 1 species